rnacentral:misc_RNA from 1 species
AGAGUUAAACAGUACGUGAAAUUGUUGAAAGGGAAACGAUUGAAGUCAGUCGUACCGAUGGGCACUCAACCUCUCGGGUGGUGAUCAUGUCAGAUGUGGGAAGAUCUCACUUUGUCAUUGUUUCCUGUCUCUGGGGUGUAAUUGUCCGUAUGGUAGGUUAACAUCAAUUUUGGUCGUCAUAUAAUGACGGGAGGAAUGUAGCUUCCUUCGGGAAGUGUUAUAGCCUCUGGUAGAUGUGGUGAUCGGGAUUGAGGAUUGCAACGAAUACCCUUCGGGGCUACCCGUCUGGUCUCUGAUCGUCGCCUUAGUGUCGAAAGCGUGCUUAUGGCAUUAAUGUCUGGUGGUUAAAAGAUCAGUACGGGUUAUAUUCGUUAAGGAUGUUGACGUAAUGACUUUAAACGA